GCUGCGAAUUGAUACCAAUGGUAUCAGUGGUAGGGGAGCGUUCUAAGUGCAGUGAAGUCAGACCGGAAGGACUGGUGGAGCGCUUAGAAGUGAGAAUGCCGGUGUGAGUAGCGAAAGACGGGUGAGAAUCCCGUCCACCGAAUGCCUAAGGUUUCCUGAGGAAGGCUCGUCCGCUCAGGGUUAGUCAGGACCUAAGCCGAGGCCGACAGGCGUAGGCGAUGGACAACAGGUUGAUAUUCCUGUACC
rnacentral:rRNA from 1 species